GACGAACCGUGCGAACGUUAUUCGGAAUCACUGGGCUUAAAGCGCGUGUAGGCGGGUCGGUGCGUCGGCCGCUGAAAUCCCCCGGCUCAACCGGGGAAGGGGCGCCGAUACGACCGGCCUGGAGCGACGUAGGGGGAACUGGAACUUCCGGUGGAGCGGUGAAAUGCGUUGAGAUCGGAAGGAACGCCCGUGGCGAAAGCGAGUUCCUGGACGUCGGCUGACGCUGAGACGCGAAAGCCAGGGGAGCGAACGGG
rnacentral:rRNA from 2 species